rnacentral:misc_RNA from 1 species
CAGGUUGUCUCCUGGUUGAUAAAGAAUUUUUACUGUUCAUAUUAGCUCGAAGAAACUUUAAUAUUUUUUUUCUUAGUCUUCUUCAUUGAUUGCUUAUCACUUACUCACUUUAUUUACAGGAUCCAGUAUUUUCUUUUAAACAUAGCGUGAAUGUCCAAACCAAAUAUGGCUUCCUCCAAAUAUGCCUCAAGAAAUUGGACCAGAAUGGCCAAAAGAUGUUCAAGAAUCAAGGUUGUGCCUCAUCCUUACAGUGUUUAGAAGGGCUUGUCUACAACGUCGAGAGUAGACGAACGAGAGGCCAUGAAAUCUGGCCUAUCUUUUACAAUGUUGAUCCAACCGAGGUUGAGGACGUCAGUGGAAGCUUUUUG